UUCUAAUCAUAUGUUUGGCAGCAAGAUGAAAAAUAAUGUAAUGUAGACCAUUUCUAUUUCUAUAUUUAGUUUAUCUGGCAGUGGUUAUGGGUGGUGGCAGUGCAGUAGUCUUAGGGAUGGUGACAAUUGUUGAGUCGCAGUGGAAGUAAAAUAUGAGCAAUGAAGUAAAGAAAUAAUCAUAUGAUACCACACAUUUUUGUUAGUAAUGGACAUUAACUAAAUCAAUAAUGAUUUUUUUAACACAGUUCAUGUUAGAUUACAAUAGAUUUUCUCCAUACAACUAAUAAAGCAACAAGUAAUGUAAUUUAAUCACAAUUGCAUUUACACUUUUGAUUACGUUUUACCAACAUAGCCCAAGUGGUGCAAACAGAUAUGCUAAAGAUGGUAACAUCUCCUUGAUGAAUGCUGUGCUAGGUGCUAACCAUAAACUAAGCCAACAUAGACAGAACUUGAAGUACAGGGACACAUCUUCCAAAAGUUCAGAGCAACAAAGGGAAAGACAUUAUUCGAAAAAUACAACAUCUUAUUUCACCCAAAAGAAAAAAAUAAUUGGACCUUUAAAAAUUUUAAUGCAAUUGCAAAAUAUAAAAUGAUAUUAUAUGUUAAUGGAGAUUGGAGACAAAGGUAGCUGUAGCUUAU
rnacentral:lncRNA from 1 species